rnacentral:tRNA from 1 species
UCUAAUAUGGCAGAUUAGUGCAAUGAAUUUAAGCUUCAUAAAUAAGAAUUUAUUUCUUUAUUAGAA